rnacentral:miRNA from 1 species
AGUGGCUUGCUUGUAGGCUGU